rfam:Sus scrofa chromosome 2.
UCCCUGGUGGUCUAGUGGUUAGGAUUCAGCACUUUCACUGCUGCAGCCCAGGUUCAAUCCCUGGUCUGGGAA